GAUGAACGCUGGCGGCGUGCCUAAUACAUGCAAGUCGAGCGAACGGACGAGAAGCUUGCUUCUCUGAUGUUAGCGGCGGACGGGUGAGUAACACGUGGAUAACCUACCUAUAAGACUGGGAUAACUUCGGGAAACCGGAGCUAAUACCGGAUAAUAUUUUGAACCGCAUGGUUCAAAAGUGAAAGACGGUCUUGCUGUCACUUAUAGAUGGAUCCGCGCUGCAUUAGCUAGUUGGUAAGGUAACGGCUUACCAAGGCAACGAUGCAUAGCCGACCUGAGAGGGUGGUCGGGCACACUGGAACUGAGACACGGUCCAGACUCCUACGGGAGGCAGCAGUAGGGAAUCUUCCGCAAUGGGCGAAAGCCUGACGGAGCAACGCCGCGUGAGUGAUGAAGGUCUUCGGAUCGUAAAACUCUGUUAUUAGGGAAGAACAUAUGUGUAAGUAACUGUGCACAUCUUGACGGUACCUAAUCAGAAAGCCACGGCUAACUACGUG
rnacentral:rRNA from 1 species